AGCAGCCGCGGUAAAUUCCAGCUCCAAUAGCGUAUAUUAAAGUUGUUGCAGUUAAAAAGCUCGUAGUUGAAUUUCGGAAUCUGUCCGUCGGUCGGGCUUCACUGUCCGUACUGGCGUGGUGGGUUCUUACCUUCUGAAUAACCAGCAUGCCAUUCACUUGGUGCGUUGGGGAAGCAGGACUAUUACCUUGAAAAAAUUAGAGUGCUCAAAGCAGGCUAGUGCCUGAAUACAUUAGCAUGGAAUAAUAAAAUAGGACGGCAUGGUUCUAUUUUGUUGGUUUCUAGGAUCACCGUAAUGAUUAAUAGGGAUAGUUGGGGGCAUUAGUAUUCAAUUGUCAGAGGUGAAAUUCUUGGAUUUAUUGAAGACUAACUUCUGCGAAAGCAUUUGCCAAGGAUGUUUU
rnacentral:rRNA from 1 species